rnacentral:snoRNA from 1 species
AAGCCAUGAUGUGGGCAACACCUAAGUAAGUCUUUGUAUCUAUCCCAAGCUUCAUAUAGUGACUCACCAUCAAACUAUAUGAACAAAGUAAUGUCGAUCCUCAUUUU